GAUGAACGCUGGCGGCGUGCUUAACACAUGCAAGUCGAACGGAAAGGCCCAAGCUUGCUUGGGUACUCGAGUGGCGAACGGGUGAGUAACACGUGGGUGAUCUGCCCUGCACUUCGGGAUAAGCCUGGGAAACUGGGGCUAAUACCGGAUAGGACGUUGGUUUGGAUGCCAUUGUGGAAAGUUUUUUCGGUGUGGGAUGAGCUCGCGGCCGAUCAGCUUGUUGGUGGGGUAUUGGCCUACCAAGGCGUCGACGGGUAGCCGGCCUGAGAGGGUGUACGGCCACAUUGGGAGUGUGAGACAGGCCAGAGUCCUACGGGGGGCGGCAGUGGGGAAUAUUGCACAAUGGGCGCAAGCGUGAUGCAGCGACGCCGCGUGGGGGAUGACGGCCUUCGGGUUGUAAACUCCUUUCGCUAGGGACGAAGCGUUUUUGUGACGGUACCUGGAGAAGAAGCACCGGCUAACUACGUG
rnacentral:rRNA from 1 species